rnacentral:rRNA from 1 species
UUGCACGCUGGCGGCAUGCCUUACACAUGCCAGUCGAACGGCAGCGCGGACUUCGGUCUGGCGGCGAGUGGCGAACGGGUGAGUAAUACAUCGGAACGUACCCUGUUGUGGGGGAUAACUAGUCGAAAGAUUAGCUAAUACCGCAUACGACCUGAGGGUGCAAGUGGGGGACCGCAAGGCCUCACGCAGCAGGAGCGGCCGAUGUCUGAUUAGCUAGUUGGUGGGGUAAAGGCCCACCAAGGCGACGAUCAGUAGCUAGUCUGAGAGGACGAUCAGCCACACUGGGACUGAGACACGGCCCAGACUCCUACGGGAGGCAGCAGUGGGGAAUUUUGGACAAUGGGGGCAACACUGAUCCAGCAAUGCCGCGUGUGUGAAGAAGGCCUUCGGGUUGUAAAGAACUUUUGUCCGGAAAGAAAUCGCGCUGGUUAAUACCUGGCGUGGAUGACGGUACCGGAAGAAUAAGCACCGGCUAACUACGUG